GAUGAACGCUGGCGGCGUGCCUAAUACAUGCAAGUCGAGCGGAUGAAGGAGAAUUGCUCUUGUCUUCAGUUGGGGGCGGGUGGGUGAUUCAUACGAAUCUACCUUGCAUUUGGGGAUAACGUACGUUCAGGGGCGCUGAUCUCGCACACGAUCUGAGUUUGAACGUCAUGGUUCUUAGGUCCAAGACGGUCUAGAUGUGCCUUAUACAGAUUUCCUCGCUGGAUUAGCUAGUUGCUAAGGUAACGGCCUACCAAGGCUACGAUGCAUAGCUGACCUGAGAGGGUGAUCGGCCACACUGGAACUGAGACACGGUCCAGACUCCUACGGGAGGCAGCAGUAGGGAAUAUUCCGCAAUGGGCGAAAGCCUGACGGAGCAAUGCCGCGUGAGUGAUGAAGGUCUUCGGAUCGUAAAACUCUGUUAGUAGGGAAGAACAGAUGUGUAAGUAAAUGUGCAUAUCUUGACGGUACCAAAUCAGAAAGCCACGGCUAACUACGUG
rnacentral:rRNA from 1 species